GACGAACGCUGGCGGCGUGCUUAACACAUGCAAGUCGAACGGAAAGGCCCUGCUUUUGUGGGGUGCUCGAGUGGCGAACGGGUGAGUAACACGUGAGUAACCUGCCCUUGACUUUGGGAUAACUUCAGGAAACUGGGGCUAAUACCGGAUAGGAGCUCCUGCUGCAUGGUGGGGGUUGGAAAGUUUCGGCGGUUGGGGAUGGACUCGCGGCUUAUCAGCUUGUUGGUGGGGUAGUGGCUUACCAAGGCUUUGACGGGUAGCCGGCCUGAGAGGGUGACCGGCCACAUUGGGAGUGAGAUACGGCCCAGACUCCUACGGGAGGCGGCAGUGGGGAAUAUUGCACAAUGGGCGGAAGCCUGAUGCAGCAACGCCGCGUGCGGGAUGACGGCCUUCGGGUUGUAAACCGCUUUCGCCUGUGACGAAGCGUGAGUGACGGUAAUGGGUAAAGAAGCACCGGCUAACUACGUG
rnacentral:rRNA from 1 species